rnacentral:lncRNA from 1 species
AGGCAGAGAACUGAAAUGGUGGAAGCUUUUCAAGGAGUUAAAUCCAUUUGUCCAUGCAUCAAGGUAAGAGUAACACAAUUCAAGUGCUUCUAGAUCAGCAAUGAAUAAAUUAUCUGUAGCUAUACAUGCAAAGCAAACAAAAUCUAAGUCAUGCUUCUGUUUACUCUCUUGAUAAUUCUUCCAAGAACUAAAUUCUUACUAUUCUGCGGUACCUUUUGCCAUGACUUUUUUCUGCUUUCCAUUUGAUCAUAUUGACACCAUCAGAAACUAAUUCAGGAAGGAAAAUUGAUUAGGAUUUGGUAUUUGUAAGUUUACUUAAUUCAUGUCGAGUUAGGAUCUAUGGUCCUGCUUUAAGUUAAAGCAGGUUUCAUACUAAUAUAACAGAAGUGUUGCUAGCUAUUUUUCAAUUGUGAUUUGUGGGAAAUUGUGAAGAACUGUGGAGAGCAUCAAAG